GGUGAACGCCGGCGGCGUGCUUAAGACAUGCAAGUCGAACGCAGUCUUCGGACUGAGUGGCGCACGGGUGAGUAACACGUAACUGACCUACCCCCAAGUCGCGGAUAACUGGCCGAAGGGUCAGCUAAUACGUGAUGUGUUAUCCCCUUUCUGGGGGGCCAUUAAAGGUUUACUGCUUGGGGAUGGGGUUGCGUUCCAUCAGCUAGUUGGCGGGGUAAAGGCCCACCAAGGCAACGACGGAUAGCCGGCCUGAGAGGGUGGCCGGCCACAGGGGCACUGAGACACGGGUCCCACUCCUACGGGAGGCAGCAGUUAGGAAUCUUCCACAAUGGGCGAAAGCCUGAUGGAGCGACGCCGCGUGAGGGAUGAAGGUUCUCGGAUCGUAAACCUCUGAAUCAGGGACGAAAGACGCGUAAGCGGGAUGACGGUACCUGAGUAAUAGCACCGGCUAACUCCGUGCCAGCCGCCGCAGUAA
rnacentral:rRNA from 1 species